rnacentral:lncRNA from 1 species
CCUCUUUCUCUCUCUCUAGAUGUCUUCUGGGCAUAUCUACAACGAAAUAAAGAUCCUCUAUAAAAAAACGUUUAUUCGGUGGGCGGCGUUGCAGAGGAGGGGGGAGCCAUCGUCCUCGCCGCCAACUGUACCGGCGCCGCCACCGCACCGCCGCUCUCUAAUGGGGCUCGCCGUGGGGGGGGGCCCACUCUCACGUGGCUCCCGUCCCCAACCGCCGCCGCAGCCGCAGCCGCCGCCGCCGC